rnacentral:rRNA from 1 species
GACGAACGCUGGCGGCGUGCUUAACACAUGCAAGUCGAACGGAAAGGCCCUGCUUUUGUGGGGUGCUCGAGUGGCGAACGGGUGAGUAACACGUGAGUAACCUGCCCUUGAUUUUGGGAUAACUUCAGGAAACUGGGGCUAAUACCGGAUAGGAGCUCCUGCUGCCUGGUGGGGGUUCGAAAGUUUCGGCGGUUGGGGAUGGACUCGCGGCUUAUCAGCUUGUUGGUGGGGUAGUGGCUUACCAAGGCUUUGACGGGUAGCCGGCCUGAGAGGGUGACCGGCCACAUUGGGACUGAGAUACGGCCCAGACUCCUACGGGAGGCAGCAGUGGGGAAUAUUGCACAAUGGGCGGAAGCCUGAUGCAGCAACGCCGCGUGCGGGAUGACGGCCUUCGGGUUGUAAACCGCUUUCGCCUGUGACGAAGCGUGAGAGACGGUAAUGGGUAAAGAAGCACCGGCUAACUACGUG